GGGAGACGUUGGAUGUCCCCCUGGCCAUUUAAUGAAUUUUGGGUCUUCUUCUUCCUCAUAACACCAAACAGAGAGAGCACACCAAACAGAGAGCACGAAAGGGGCUGCGAUUUUAGGGUUUUCAAGGUUGUGAUUUUGGUGGUGAGAUUUUAGAGAGUACUUUGCAUCAAAACUUCUAUAUCUAUCAAUCACACAUUUGAGGUAAUUAAGUUUCUAAAAUUAUAAUAAUAAGUUAUAUAUUGCUAGAUAUUUAGUGAUAUUUUAUUUAUUAUUUAUUAAUUUAUUUAAAUUGGUUUGUGGAUUUAAUAGCGAAUUCGAUUACUACUUGAAGUAAUUUUGCUAGCUUUUGAAUUAUUAAUUGCAAGAGGUAAAUAUAUAUUCUCUUACUUCUACUUUUAAUAUUAUUAAACAAAUGUUAGAAGAGUUUGAAUAUCUUAAAUAUUCAUCCAUAGUGAAGUAGGUUCUGAGAUUAAAAUUGUGUGCUGCGGUGAUAACGGAAGGUUGAGAACUUGUGUGUAUUAGUGAAGUAGGUUCUGAGAAAUUUGACUGUGUGCUGCGGAGCUAUAAGGAAGAAACUUAUUGUAUGUUGUUUGAAUUGUUUGUUUUGCUAUUCACAUGUAGAUGGUUAGGUCACUAUUAUAGGGGAAAUGCUGCCCGAUUUUAUCUAGGAUAAUAAACAAUUAAUUUUAUGUAGGCAUUCUAUAAGGAAGAAACUUAUUGUAUGUUGUUUGAAUUGUUUGUUUUGUUAUUCACAAGCAGAUGGUUAGGUCACUAUUAUAGGGGAAAUGCUGCCCGAUAUUAUUUAGGAUAAUAAACGAUUAGUUGAGAACGGGCAUUACUUGAUUGAACAUGCGAGUCCCGGGCAUUACUUGAGAACGCUAACAAGCACAUCAUAUACAGAGGCACAAAUUGAUGAGUUGCGACAAGAAUGGGCGACAUAUAUGUUGCCGAUAAUCCAAAGUUACCGACCUCGUUGAUAGGUUUUUUUUUAAUUUUUUAACUCUUUCUUCAUACACAAUGCAAUAUUUGUUCAUUUUGAAUAUUUCUAACAAAUAUUGUAUUUCUUGUAUAUAUCUAACAAAUAUAUUUUUUUCUUUCAAUUUAAAUUAAUAUUAUUUCAAUUUAAUUAAUUUAAAUUUAGAUUAAAAUAAUUUCAAUUUAAAUUAAUA